AUUGAACGCUGGCGGCAGGCCUAACACAUGCAAGUCGAGCGGAUGAAGGGAGCUUGCUCCUGGAUUCAGCGUCGCACGGGUGAGUAAUGCCUAGGAAUCUGCCUGGUAGUGGGGUAUGACGUCCGGAAACGGGCGCUACUACCGCCUACUUCCUGCUGGAGCAAGUUGGGGAUCUUCGGACCUCACGCUCUCAGAUGAGCCUAGGUCGGAUUAGCUAGUUGGUGGGGUAAAGGCCUACCAAGGCGACGAUCCGUAACUGGUCUGAGAGGAUGAUCAGUCACACUGGAAGUGAGACACGGUCAAGACUACUACGGGAGGCAGCAGUGGGGAAUAGUGGACAAUGGGCGAAAGCCUGAUCCAGCCAUGCCGCGUGUGAGAAGAAGGUCUUCGGAUUGUAAAGCACUUUAAGUUGGGAGGAAGGGCAGUAAGUUAAGACCUUGCUGUUUUGACGUUACCAACAGAAUAAGCACCGACUAACUUCGUG
rnacentral:rRNA from 1 species